UAGAGUUAUUGUAAUCAAUGUGAAUAUCAUGUUUUUUCAAAUCUGUUCUGAGCCUAUAGUGUUUGCUUUGUGAACAUAUGUGUAUUGUAUAUAUUCUGUAUAGUUACAUUGUACUGAAAUAUUAGCUUGUUUGAUAUAAGGAAAGUAUGUAUUGAGUACCUUUUUGCUAGCCUGGUUGUUUAAUCUUUUUUAAAAAGGUUUAAACUUUUUAAAAAAAAAAAUCUUUAAACUGGCCUUUAUUACAUGGUCACAAAUAAAGUUGCAGUUUAGAAGGGAUGGGCAGGGAAAAAUUAGUUUUGAGUGUCUUUGAAUAGAAACAUAAGACUAAGAUUUUUUUCUCAUUAAAAUAUCUUAUUAAUGCUUUAUGGAGUAAAA
rnacentral:lncRNA from 1 species